GACGAACGCUGGCGGCGUGCUUAACACAUGCAAGUCGAACGGUAAGGCCCUUCGGGGUACACGAGUGGCGAACGGGUGAGUAACACGUGGGUGAUCUGCCCUGCGCUUCGGGAUAAGCCUGGGAAACUGGGUCUAAUACCGGAUAGGACCACUGCCUGCAUGGGUGGUGGUGGAAAGCUUUUGCGGUGUGGGAUGGGCCCGCGGCCUAUCAGCGUGUUGGUGGGGUGAUGGCCUACCAAGGCGACGACGGGUAGCCGGCCUGAGAGGGUGACCGGCCACACUGGGACUGAGAUACGGCCCAGACUCCUACGGGAGGCAGCAGUGGGGAAUAUUGCACAAUGGGCGCAAGCCUGAUGCAGCGACGCCGCGUGAGGGAUGACGGCCUUCGGGUUGUAAACCUCUUUCAGCACCGACGAAGCGCAAGUGACGGUAGGUGCAGAAGAAGGACCGGCCAACUACGUGCCAGCCGCCGCGGUAA
rnacentral:rRNA from 1 species